AAAGUGCGAGAAAGCAAUGCGAAUUGCAGGACACAUUGAGCAUGAAUAACUCGAACGCAUCUAGCAGCCAAGACUUUAGUCGAGGCUAAAUUUGCUUCAGUCUUGUUUUUAUCACAUCAAAUUCAUUUAUUUCAAUGAAUUGCUGGCAAGUUCAAUCAUAUCUGAUUUAGCUUGCAAUACAUAUCUAACAUACUUCAUUAUAUAGAAGUAUACGUAUAAAACGAAGUUAUACACAAUACACAAAAAGAAUAUUUAUUUGUGUUAAUUGUCAUAACAUGAGAAAUCUUUAUCAUAUCCAUGUUAUUGAUUAGAUACAACUAAACUUCUACUGUGUGUGUAUAUUCCAUUUCUCCUUCCAAUUUCAAUUUCAAGCUGAAGUCAAAUUAGAAUACUUGCUGAA
rnacentral:misc_RNA from 1 species